CCGAAAGAAACCUCCCCUGGCACAGCUGAGGGCUGUGUCCUGUCGUCUCUCUGGUUGCCUGGGAGAAGAGACCAGCCCCCAGGCAGGAGGAGUGUCCAGGUUUCAGCCCCAUGGCCGCCGGUGCUCAGUUCGUGCCGGGGCCGGGGCUGGGGCUGGGGCCCGGGCACCCCACAGCUGCUGGGUGAGGUUGUGGGAAGCUCGGUCUAAUACCAGCGACAGGAAUGUGUGAAGUGAUUUGUACUGUGAAAGAUUGGACGUGGAAUGGCAUCAGUGGGAGAAAAAUAAGUAGAUAGAAAGUUUUUUACCUUCAGACUAAGAAAUUGUGAGGAAUGUCACCCAGCAAUGUGACAUUGCAGCUACACGGGAUUUGAGAUGAUGACUUGCAAGGAUUGCCUCUGGGCUAGUGGUUCCUCUUUGGUAACAUAUAAAAAUACAAUUUCUUAAUGUCCAGCACAGUGUACUUCAUCUCAGUUAUGAUGAACAAGGAAAAGCUGAUCGUUGAUGGGAAAAUCACAGGUGCUGAGAUACACCUACAUCGGUCAUGGUUAGUGGUGUGAAUGUAGCCAGCUUCAAGCCAAAGAAUCUUGGUAUGCUGUGAAGUUCAUCCACAUCUGUCGUUCUGCACAAAUGCUGCCAACGUGCAGCAGAGCAAAAUAUGCCUAUAUCUGUAGAAUCUUUCAGGGCUGUUACUCUAGAUGCUGUAAGAGGACUGCCACAUGAAAGUGAAGGAACGUGAAGUUGGACAAAAAGUAGUUCAAGCCAAAUGUUUUGGGUAUUCUAAUGGCACAAAGAAAGUCAUAAUAAUAUAUGAAAUACAUUGUAUAUAAUGAAAACAUGUAGAUGAAAAUAAGUAAAAAUAAUUAAUGUAUAGGUUGGACAACAUGGCUAGUUCAGGACAGCUGAAGAAAGAUUUAAAAUACCUGAAGCCAUGGAGGAUAAAGAUAAUGGACAGUAUUGUAUUUAUGUGAGGAACAAGAUAAAUGACAACCAAAGCUAAUGUUAGAUUUAGAGUGAAGUAUAGAACAGAGAAUGUGCAUCUAAGGGACAUCUGGGUUUUGAAUAUUUUGCAUGUAUUGUGGAUUAUAUAUCUCAAUAAUAAAAGGUAAUGGUCUGUAGCAGGGAACAGCAUUGUGCAGCAUUCAGUGUCAUGCAACAGUACUCUAUAACUUCCACCCAGGAGUCUUAAGAGGAGCUGCCUGAGGUCUGUGAAAUGCUUCUGUUAAUUUUUAACACACCUUGGGAUUUUCCAGCAGGGGGAUAUUGCCAUAUAUUGCCAUGGGUGUUGCUUUAUUUAAUGUCUAUCAGGAAGAUAUUUCAUAAAGGUAGAUCUUCUCAGAUAAAUGUGAACAGUUUUCUUGUAAGUUAAUAUAUCUUUCUGGUAGAUGUACCAUGUUUACACCAGAUUCUUCUUGGAAGCUUGCUGAAACUAACGUGAUGAAGUGAAUGAUUCAGAGGAGGACCCUGUAGUCAUCAUAGAAACUGAUGUGAAUCUUCUUAAUAGUACCCUCACAGGAAGAAUACAGAAAUUUCAGAGGGAUUUUGAAGGAGGACUGAAAAUAAUCCUGGAGAUGCAGAAAAAAAUUCAGGUUAUGAGGCUUAAGGCUGUCAAGACUGAGAAGUGAUUUUGGAUAUAGUAGUGAUACAUGAGUUAAUUUGGAAUUUAAACACAUCUUCUAUGAAGUCAUAUAUCUCUGCUUGCUGCUUUUAAUUGAAUACAGCCAAUUUCCAGCCAAUAAAUCUCAUAUACAAAAUUCA